rnacentral:rRNA from 1 species
AAUAGAUACCCAGGUAGUCCACGCCGUAAACGAUGAGUGCUAAGUGUUAGAGGGUUUCCGCCCUUUAGUGCUGCAGCUAACGCAUUAAGCACUCCGCCUGGGGAGUACGGUCGCAAGACUGAAACUCAAAGGAAUUGACGGGGGCCCGCACAAGCGGUGGAGCAUGUGGUUUAAUUCGAAGCAACGCGAAGAACCUUACCAGGUCUUGACAUCCCACUGACCGGUUAUAGAGAUAUACCUUUCCCUUCGGGGUACAGUGGUGACAGGUGGUGCAUGGUUGUCGUCAGCUCGUGUCGUGAGAUGUUGGGUUAAGUCCCGCAACGAGCGCAACCCUUGAUCUUAGUUGCCAGCAUUUAGUUGGGCACUCUAAGGUGACUGCCGGUGACAAACCGGAGGAAGGUGGGGAUGACGUCAAAUCAUCAUGCCCCUUAUGACCUGGGCUACACACGUGCUACAAUGGAUGGUACAAAGGGCUGCAAGACUGCGAAGUCAAGCCAAUCCCAUAAAACCGAUUCUCAGUUCGGAUUGCAGG